GUAGGCAGCGAGCGUUGUUCGGAGUUACUGGGCGUAAAGGGUGUGUAGGCGGUUGUUUAAGUUUGGUGUGAAAUCUCCCGGCUCAACCGGGAGGGUGCGCCGAAUACUGAAUGACUUGGAGUGUGGGAGAGGUGAGUGGAAUUCCUGGUGUAGCGGUGAAAUGCGUAGAUAUCAGGAGGAACACCGGUGGUGUAGACGGCUCACUGGACCAUAACUGACGCUGAGACACGAAAGCGUGGGUAGCAAACAGGAUUAGAUACCCUGGUAGUCCACGCCCUAAACGAUGCAUAUUUGGUGUGGGCAGUUCAUUCUGUCCGUGCCGGAGCUAACGCGUUAAAUAUGCCGCCUGGGGAGUACAGCCGCAAGGUUGAA
rnacentral:rRNA from 1 species